AUAUGAAAAACGCUGAAUUCCCGUCAGGGAAACGGGGGAACCAAUUUUUGGGGUGAAUCCGUAAGGUAGGGUUAUCUCUUUCGACCCGAACCCGUCAGCUAACCUCGCAAGCGUAGGAAGAGGGAGCA
rnacentral:sRNA from 2 species